rnacentral:rRNA from 1 species
CUCUACGACCAAAGGGGAUCUUCGGACCUCUCGCNAUUUGAUUAGCCCAAGUGAGAUUAGCUAGUUGGUAAGGUAAUGGCUUACCAAGGCGACGAUCUCUAGCUGGUUUGAGAGGAUGAUCAGCCACACUGGGACUGAGACACGGCCCAGACUCCUACGGGAGGCAGCAGUGGGGAAUAUUGCACAAUGGGGGAAACCCUGAUGCAGCCAUGCCGCGUGUGUGAAGAAGGCCUUCGGGUUGUAAAGCACUUUCAGUUGUGAGGAAAGGUGUGUAGUUAAUAGCUGCAUACUGUGACGUUAACAACAGAAGAAGC